AAUAGGAGAAUGAUAAAUUAAAUUUUUACUCUUGAUUUUUAGUAUUUUUCUCCUGAAAAAUUUCAAAUUCAACUAAAAAUACUAAAAAUCAGGGGAGGAAAUCUGAUUUGUCGUUCUCUUAUU
rnacentral:pre_miRNA from 1 species